CCUUAUUUUCAUUUUAUUAACAAAGUACUAGUGUUCACAUGGGUCGAUCUGCAAGCAGCCAUAUUUUUAUUACAAUAUUAUCUUCGUACAAAUGGCAAUAUAUAGCAGAAGAUAAGUGGCAAACUUCUCAAAGGCAUAGAUUACUCCCAGAACAACAUGAGCAACGAGUACAGCUGAGGCAACAUCUAUCCUCCUGCUACCAGACUACUAA
rnacentral:lncRNA from 1 species